AUGGGUGUCUUCAUCAAGGUGCCAGUCCUAUGCCUGCUGCUGCUGCUCAUGCCACUCCUUUCGAUCAUCCCAGGGUCUGAUGGUCUACAUUGUGCGGAACCCAGCAUGACAUAUACUGGUCCUUGUGAGGAUCGGCCAUGCGUUGAGCACUGCCGCAAGGAGUAUUACACCUUCGGGUUGUGCAUCAGUUAUGCGGGGACGAACGACGUGAAGCGGUGCUUCUGCUGUAGCUGA
rnacentral:rRNA from 1 species